CCCCUGCUCCCCUCGAUGGCAGGAGAGAACGUGGAGCUUGGAGACGCGCCCCCUCGAGGGAGAACACCGCUGCUUCAGUCUCAACCUCUCCCUCCCGGAAAGCAGAUUCCAGAAUGCAACAGGAACAGGGGCAACCAGAAAGUCCCAAGUUUGACACCGAACUCCACCACCCGUCUCGGUUGGUUUGAGAACAGCGGUCCUCAGACCCCAGGCCUCAGGUGAGUGCUGGUCCCUGGCCAGUCACUCAGUCGUGUCCGACUCUCUGCAACCCCAUGGACUGCAGCACGCCAGGCC